AAGGGCUGCGCCUGUGGCAUAUGGUAGUUAGUUCCCAGAACAGGGGUCGAAUCAGAGCUAUAGCUGCCGGCCACAGCCACAGCCACAGCCACAGCCACAUGGAAUCUGAGCCAUGCCUGCGACCUACACCACGGUUCACAGCAAUGCCGGACUCUUAACCCACUGAGCGAGGCCAGGGAUCAAACCCUCAUCCUCACGGAUACCACGUGGAUUCGUUUCCACUGCACCACAAUGGGAACUCCCAACAGGAAAGGCUUUAGAGAAAGAAACCAAGAAUUUCUUGACAAUCAGAGAAACAGAACACUGGAAGUGGUUCUGAAGGAGUUCCCAGGACGGUCUUUUCCUGGAAGAAACGUUCUGGAUAAAAAUGACAAUUCCAAGGUAUGGCCAUGCAUCUUGCGGAAGGCAAGGAACUCAUUUCUCCCAAGGUCCCGCUCUGAGCUCAUGUUCCAGAGAGGUGAGAGGUGGAGAUGAGUCUUCCUCCUCCACAACUGCCUUCCCGGAGGGAUCUGCUAACUGACCACCUGAUCUAUAUUCCCACCAAUAAGGACCACAAACUACCUGGAAUUAAAGAUCUCGGCCAGGCAACAACGCCAGGAAUGGAUCCUCCAACAGCCACCUAAGGUGAAUGGGGCCACCGGCCAAAUACCCAAACCAGAAAGUCUUUGAGCCACGCAUGCGAAUAAGAAAUGUGCUGCUUUUACAAGGAUAAAAAAUGUAAGUAAUGAAAGAGGAAGACAGAAUCUUCUGCCAAUAAGAGAUGGUAAUUUCUUAGAAAAUCUACAGGAGGUAUUUUCUACAUUCAGAAAUACUUUUCUGAGGGAACCCUCCUACACUGUUGGUAGGAAUGUAAAUUGGUACAACCACUAUGGAAAACAAUAUGGAGGUGCCUUAGAACAACUAAAUAUAAAACUACCAGAUGACCCAGCAAUCCCACUCCUGGGCAUAUAUCCAGACUAAACCUUCACUGCAAAAGAUUCAUGCACCCGCAUGUUCACUGCAGCACUAUUCACAACAGCCAAGACAUGGAAACAAUCCAAAUGCCCGACGACAGAUGAAUGGAUUGAGACGAUGUGGUACAUACACACAAUGGAAUACUACUCAGCCAUAAAAAAGAACAAAAUCAUGCCAUCUGCAGCAACAUGGAUGGAACUAGAGACUCUCCAGAGAAAGAGAAAUACCAUAUGAUAUCACUUAUAUCUGGAAUCUAAUAGACGGCACAAAUGAACCUAUCUUCAGAAAAGAAACAAACUUGUGGACAUGGCGAACAGACCUGUGGCUGCCAAGGGGGAAGGAGGUGGGGGAGGAGUGGGAGGGACUGGGAGUUUGGGGUUAGUAGAGGCAAACUAUUGCCUUUGGAGUGGAUAAGCAAUGAGAUCCUGCUGUACAGCACAGGGAACCAUAUCUAAUCACUUGUGAUGGAACAUGACGGAGGAUAACGUGAAAAAAAGAAUGCGUAUAAAUGUGUAAGUCACUUUGCUGCACAGCAGAAGUGGACAGAACACUGUAAAUCAACUAUACUAAAAAAUUUUAAAUUUUUUAAAAAAAGAAAUAAGCUUCUGAUUCCAAGUAAAGAAAAUAUUUCAAGAGAAAAUAGAGAAAUGGGGGUCUUCCUUUUAUACCUCAAGAAACAUCAGCAUGUAAGAAUUUAGAACUGGUGCAUGUGAGUGUCCUCGAGCGAACACGUGUGCACACAAACAAGGCAUUCCAUCUUGAGUCAGACCACAGUCCAAUGAGCUCAGGUUUAGUUUUGACUUUCCCUUCCCACCCCCUGAGCUCAAGGUCAGGGACCCUCCAUAAACUUUUGUUAAAUGGAUGCUUUAAAGAAGUGCCCUGCUUAUAAAACAGGGGUGACAGUGCCUACUUUGCGGAUCUGUUAGGAGGACAAGUGAAUCCAUGAGGGUAGAGGGUGGGGCACAAACUAGGUGGGGUCUAAAUCACAACUACUGCCAUGAACAUCAGAUAUUUUAGUUUUUUUUCUGUGUGUGUUUGUGUCUUUUUGCCCUUUCUAGGGUCACACCUGCAGCAUAUGGAGGUUCCCAGGCUAAGUGUCUAAUGGGAGCUGCAGCCACCAGCCUACACCACAGCCACAGCCACACAGGAUCCGAGCCACGUCUGCCACCUACACCACAGCUCCUUAGCCCACUGAGCAAGGCCAGGGAUCGAACCCACAACCUCAUGGUUCCUAGUCGGAGUCGUUAAGCACUGAGCCAUGAUGGGAACUCCACUUUAGGUUCUUUUAGAGGAAAAAUCAAGACCUUCUCCUCCCCUCAACAGGUUCCAGCUGUAUGAAGUGGAACUAUUCUGCAUUUGGGCCUUUCAAGUUCACACUCCAUCGGAGGUUAUGCAAAGUCUGCUGGCAUUAUUCUGCACCUCGCCUUUGACAGCAACCUGAAGAGCCUGAAUUGCCAUUAGAAGACUACCAGAAAGCACUGGCAAAUGACACUUUCAGAGAACAACAAAAAAAUACUCAUGUAUCACACCCUCUUGAUCAUCGCUACUUUGUUCCAUAUAAACCUCAAAGGUGGGUUCCUUUAAGCUUCGUCUCUAUGGGAGGAAGGAAGAGAGAAACAUAAAAAACAAAACAUGAAGCACACGAGCAGCUGUAACUUGCAUAAAGCGCCAAAUUUUCUUUUGCAGGAAAAUGAUGUUUGACGACGCAUCGCUCCAGACCCUGGCUCGUGGUUGAGUGGGUGCCUCCCCUCGGAGGAGGC
rnacentral:lncRNA from 1 species